rnacentral:rRNA from 1 species
AUUUCCCUCUUUCUUCCUGCUUUACACAUGCAAGUCGAACGGCAGCGCGGGCUUCGGCCUGGCGGCGAGUGGCGAACGGGUGAGUAAUACAUCGGAACGUGCCCAGUAGUGGGGGAUAGCUCGGCGGAAGCCGGAUUAAUACCGCAUACGACCUGAGGGUGAAAGCGGGGGAUCUUCGGACCUCGCGCUAUUGGAGCGGCCGAUGGCAGAUUAGCUAGUUGGUGGGGUAAAGGCCUACCAAGGCGACGAUCUGUAGCUGGUCUGAGAGGACGACCAGCCACACUGGGACUGAGACACGGCCCAGACUCCUACGGGAGGCAGCAGUGGGGAAUUUUGGACAAUGGGCGAAAGCCUGAUCCAGCAAUGCCGCGUGUGUGAUGAAGGCCUUCGGGUUGUAAAGCACUUUUGGCGGGAACGAAAAGGACUGUGCCAAUACCACGGUUCGAUGACGGUACCCGCAGAAUAAGCACCGGCUAACUACGUG